rnacentral:rRNA from 1 species
CACAUUGGGAUGGGCGCAGGCCUGACCGCAAUGCCGCGUGGGUGAAGAAGGUCUUCGGAUUGUAAAGCCCUUUCGGCGGGGACGAUGGUGACGGUACCCGCAGAAGAAGCCCCGGCUAACUUCGUGCCAGCAGCCGCGGUAAUACGAAGGGGGCUAGCGUUGCUCGGAAUUACUGGGCGUAAAGGGCGCGUAGGCGGCCCUGUUGGUCAGGCGUGAAAUUCCUGGGCUCAACCUGGGGGCUGCGCUUGAUACGGCGGGGCUGGAGGGCGGAAGAGGCUCGCGGAAUUCCCAGUGUAGAGGUGAAAUUCGUAGAUAUUGGGAAGAACACCGGUGGCGAAGGCGGCGAGCUGGUCCGUACCUGACGCUGAGGCGCGACA